rnacentral:rRNA from 1 species
UACGAAGGGUCCAAGCGUUGUUCGGAAUCAUUGGGCGUAAAGCGCGCGCAGGCGGGUUGGCAAGUCAGAUGUGAAAUCUCGAAGCUCAACUUCGAAACUGCGUCUGAAACUGCUAGUCUAGAAUGUCGGAGGGGGUAGGGGAAUUUCACGUGUAGGGGUAAAAUCCGUAAAGAUGUGAAGGAACACCGGGGGCGAAGGCGCCUACCUGGACGACUAUUGACGCUGAGGCGCGAAAGCGUGGGGAGCAAACAGG